rnacentral:siRNA from 1 species
UCGAUAAACCUCACGAUGACGC